UACAGAGGUGGCAAGCGUUGUUCGGAAUUACUGGGCGUAAAGGGCGCGUAGGCGGUCUUUUAAGUCUUGUGUGAAAUCCCUCGGCUCAACUGAGGAACUGCACGGGAUACUGGAAGACUUGAGUUCGGGAGAGGGAAGCGGAAUUCCGGGUGUAGCGGUGAAAUGCGUAGAGAUUUGGAGGAACACCAGUGGCGAAGGCGACUUUCUGGUCUGUAACUGACGCUGAGGCGCGAAAGCGUGGGGAGCAAACAGG
rnacentral:rRNA from 1 species